rnacentral:rRNA from 1 species
UACGUAGGGUGCGAGCGUUAAUCGGAAUUACUGGGCGUAAAGCGUGCGCAGGCGGUGAUGUAAGACCGAUGUGAAAUCCCCGGGCUCAACCUGGGAAUUGCGUUGGAGACUGCAAGGCUGGAGUCUGGCAGAGGGGGGUAGAAUUCCACGUGUAGCAGUGAAAUGCGUAGAGAUGUGGAGGAACACCGAUGGCGAAGGCAGCCCCCUGGGUCAAGACUGACGCUCAUGC